rnacentral:lncRNA from 1 species
UACCACUGAACUGUUUAAUAUUCUAGAAUUUAUGUUACACAGUAAAAGAUAGACAACUCUGUCUGCAGUUCUGGGACUGGGAUAUGCCUGUGCAUACACGCAUCUGCUCUGUUUUGGUUUCACUUCACUUUAGUUAUUUGAUUUGGUGUCUGCAAAACCCUGUGUGCACAUUUUUAUGAUCCUUGGGACAAUUUACUGCCAACCUUGCUUGAACUCUAAAAUAUGCCUCCAGUUUCGGAAAACCACAAAUUAUUUACCAAGGAGGCAAGGAAAUGGAGGUCACUGGGCUCAUUUCUUACAUAAUUUUCAACUUCCUUUCUGAGGCCUGACAUCUCCCGGCAGUCACAGUGAUGUCUUCCUUAGAUGGAUUCAAUAAUGGGGAAGAACAGAUGAAAAGUGGUGAAAGUUGCUAACUGCUGUGUUCCUCUGCUUGCUUUUCAUGCUGUGUGCCAGGAAUCAAAGCUGGAGGAGCGGAAGAUAUACAGGGAGUCCACGGAGCCUCCCCUGCAAGCAUCAGUACAGAAGUCGAUGAUAAUCUGGAUGCAAGCCCAGGAGUGUGGAGUCCACUGACUCAGAAGACCUGCAUCUAAGGAAUUGGCUGUUCUUAUCCUUAAGAAUGAUGACUGUGUUUCCAAUUCCAGUAGACCCUUUGAUGCGUUCUGAAUAAAUAUUCCUUUUGGAAUUGAACUUCUAGAGCCCUUAA